rnacentral:rRNA from 1 species
UUAAAUAGUAAAUAAAUUUAUUUGAGUAGUAUUAGUUAUAUUCUUGAAACUAAAAAAAUUUGGCGGUAUUUUAGUCUAUUCAGAGGAACUUGUUUUUUAAUCGAUAAUCCCCGAUGUACCUUACUUAAAAUUGUUAAUCAAUCUAUAUAUCGUUGUUAUUAGAAUAUUUUAUAAGAAUAAUAAUUUUCUGUAAUUUUUAUAAAAAUUAAUAUCAAAUCAAGGUGUAGUUUAUUUUUAAGAAUAAAUGAGUUACAAUAAAAUAUAUUUUUGAAUUUAGAUAUGAAAAAUUUAAUGAAAUUGGAUUUGAUAGUAAAAUUAUAAAGAU